rnacentral:rRNA from 1 species
UACAGAGGUCUCAAGCGUUGUUCGGAUUCAUUGGGCGUAAAGGGCGCGUAGGCUGCGGGGCAAGUCGGGUGUGAAAUCUCAGAGCUCAACUCUGAAACUGCACUCGAUACUGCUUUGCUUGAGGACUGGAGAGGAGACUGGAAUUUACGGUGUAGCGGUGAAAUGCGUAGAUAUCGAGAAGAACGCUCGCAGCGAAGGCGAAGCUCUGGGCAAAUUCUGACGCUGAUGCACGAAGGCUAGGGGAGCAAACGGG